AUUUAUAUAGUUUAUAAAAAACAUUAUAUUUUCAUUAUAAUAAAAGAAUUAAUUCUUAUAAAUA
rnacentral:tRNA from 2 species